CCUACGGGUCGCACCAGUGAGGAAUAGUGGUCAAUGGGCGCAAGCCUGAACCAGCCAUGCCGCGUGCAGGAUGACGGUCCUAUGGAUUGUAAAGCACUUUUAGUGGGGAUGAAAAGCACAUCACUAACACUGGUGUGUCUUGACCUAACCCAAAGAAAAAGCACCGGCUAACUCUGUGCCAGCAGCCGCGGUAAUACAGAGGGUGCGAGCGUUAAUCAGAAUUACUGGGCGUAAAGCGUGCGUAGACGGUUAUUUAAGUCGGGUGUGAAAGCCCCGGGCUCAACCUGGGAAUUGCAUUCGAGACUGAAUAGCUAGGGUACGGUAGAGGGAAGUGGAAUUUCCGGUGUAGCGGUGAAAUGCGUAGAUAUCGGAAGGAACAUCAGUGGCGAGAGCGACUUCCUGGACCAGUACCGACGUUCAGGCACGAAAGCGUGGGGAGCAAACAGGAUUAGAUACCCGAGUAGUC
rnacentral:rRNA from 1 species